GGAAGAAGUAGACAAACCGCUCUCUCUAAAAUCAUAAACCCCUGAGAGAGAGUGUUUGUCUACUUCUUCCUCCUCUAACAAAAAUCUCAGAUCCAAACCUCUAGUAACCCUAACUAUGGCUUUGUUGGUGGAGAAGACCACUAGCGGCCGUGAGUACAAGGUCAAGGACAUGUCUCAGGCCGACUUCGGUCGCCUCGAGAUUGAAUUAGCCGAGGUUGAAAUGCCUGGUCUAAUGGCUUGCAGAGCCGAGUUUGGCCCUGCUCAGCCUUUCAAGGGCGCUAAAAUCACCGGCUCCCUUCACAUGACCAUUCAGACCGCUGUACUCAUCGAGACCCUCACUGCCUUGGGCGCCGAGGUCCGCUGGUGCUCUUGCAAUAUUUUCAGCACUCAGGACCACGCCGCCGCCGCCAUAGCUCGUGACUCCGCCUCUGUAUUCGCCUGGAAGGGUGAGACCCUCCAGGAGUACUGGUGGUGUACCGAGCGCGCUCUUGACUGGGGUCCCGGCGGUGGCCCAGAUCUGAUCGUGGAUGAUGGUGGUGAUGCUACACUUUUGAUCCAUGAGGGUGUUAAGGCUGAGGAGAUUUAUGAGAAGACUGGGCAGCUUCCUGAUCCGUCUUCAACCGAUAAUGCUGAGUUUCAGAUUGUUUUGACGAUUAUUAGGGAUGGGUUGAAGACAGAUCCCAAGAAGUAUCACAAGAUGAAGGAAAGAUUGGUGGGUGUUUCUGAGGAGACUACCACUGGAGUUAAGAGGUUGUACCAGAUGCAAGCUAAUGGAACUUUGUUGUUCUCUGCUAUUAACGUUAAUGACUCUGUCACCAAGAGCAAGGUAUUGCUUGUACUUACUAAAUUUUUGGGCUUUAGAUCUGGCUUGGAUCUGGGUCCUUAUGGUUUAGAUCUGCUACCUUUUUGCUAAAAUUGUUUGUUUUAUGUUUCAGUUCCUCUACUAUUUCACCUGGUUGUUUUCGUCUAUUAUGACAUCUAACAUCUGGGUAUAGAUUAGAUUGAUUUGAAUGAACUACCCAUUUUUCUUGCUAAAAAUUGGAUAAUAAACUACUUAUGCUUAAUUGUAAAUGCUUCCUGUGUUUGCUAAUUUAGUUUCAGGCCUGCUAUAGUUUACUUAGUUUUAUAGAGCACUAAUCUGGUUAGUGAUUUUAAUCGCCUGAAAAAUGAUUUUACUAUUGGUUUAUGAUUUAUACCGAGUUUUAAUUCAGAUCUGUAUUGAUAAACUUUGGUUUUAUUGUGAUCUGUUAUUGUUGAUGAACGCAACUUAGUUUCGUUUGAAUAUCAUUAAAUUUUUCAAACUAAAUUGGCGGAAAUGUGUUACCAAUCUAAAUAUUUCUUCCUCAAUUAUUACUAUUAACGAAUGCAAAUAUCUUUUAUCACUAACAGUACUUUUCCUCUUUUAAUAUGUCAUUUUUUUUAAACUCAUUAUUGAUAUUAUGGUCAACGCUCAUUGAUACUAUUAUUUUUGUUGCAGUUUGAUAACUUGUAUGGUUGCCGCCACUCUCUCCCUGAUGGUUUGAUGAGGGCUACUGAUGUCAUGAUUGCUGGCAAGGUUGCUGUUGUCUGUGGUUACGGUGAUGUGGGCAAGGGCUGUGCUGCCGCCUUGAAGCAGGCUGGAGCUCGUGUGAUUGUGACUGAGAUUGAUCCCAUUUGUGCCCUUCAGGCUCUUAUGGAAGGUCUCCAAGUCUUGGCCCUUGAAGAUGUUGUUUCUGAGGCUGACAUCUUUGUCACCACCACUGGUAACAAGGACAUCAUCAUGGUUGAUCACAUGAGGAAGAUGAAGAACAAUGCCAUUGUUUGCAACAUUGGUCACUUUGAUAAUGAAAUUGAUAUGCAUGGACUUGAAAACUACCCUGGUGUGAAGCGCAUCACCAUCAAGCCCCAGACUGAUAGGUGGGUGUUCCCUGAGACCAACUCAGGAAUCAUUGUGUUGGCUGAGGGGCGUCUCAUGAAUUUGGGUUGUGCCACUGGUCACCCCAGCUUCGUGAUGUCUUGCUCUUUCACCAAUCAAGUGAUUGCGCAGCUCGAGUUGUGGAGGGAGAAGGGAACUGGCAAAUAUGAGAAGAAGGUCUAUGUUUUACCGAAGCACCUUGAUGAGAAGGUUGCUGCACUUCACCUUGGAAAGCUUGGGGCUAAGCUCACUAAACUAACCAAGGAGCAGGCUAAAUACAUCAGCGUGCCCGUUGAGGGUCCUUACAAGCCACCUCACUACAGGUAUUAAGACGGGACAAAGAGAGAGAAAAACAAUAUAUUAAGACGGGAUUGAUUGUUUUUUACAAUUUGAAGAUGACUUGUGGUAGAAUGUUAGGCUUUUUAUUUUUGUAGGAUUUGUGUUUUGGUGGGGAAAAGUUGGAAGGAAAGAAAUGGAUUGGUCUCUAUUGAAGAAGACCACAUGGGAUUGAAUAAGGUAAUGGAUGGGGUUGCGUGGGAUGUGUAUUGUAAACUGCUGCCUUUCGAGCUCUGUUGCAGCUGGUUAUCAAAUUUAUUCACCAAAAAAGAGGAUGAAAAGAGAGAUUAAAUAUCAUUUGCAAUUUCUUUUCGAAUGGCUAUUGUUUUCUACAGUUUCUCAUAGUGAUUUUGCCAGUUGAAAUAUUUUCAGACUCGAUCAUUUGCCAUGGAUACAUAGAAAUAGUCCCAUGCUAGGCUUUUUUUUUCUUUUUUUUUGUCAACUAGCAAAUUUAUAAGCAGCUUGAUUGCCUAAUCUAGAGACAUACAUGAAAAAAAAUUAUCAUAUGAAGAUCCCUUGAAAGAGUUAAAACAUCGUGAAAAAUACCACAAAGAUCUGAAGGGCAAUGCUGAGUUGAGUGGCUUGAUCUUUCUUCUUGGAAUUAGGUCUUUCAAAUGCAAUGGGGGAAAAAUAAGUAGUUGGUGAACAUGGUGGCCCAUUAUAAUAUGAAAUUCAACAUGGUUGGGGUUGGUGUUAGGUAAAGCAUGUUGUUGAAUGAUGUAAUGAUGGUAACCACAUCUUUCAAUAAUAUUAUAAUAUAUUAUAUUUAGAUUUUUUUUAUAAGUAAAUAUUUUAUUAAAUAAAAAAAAAUUGGUAUAAGACCCUCAGGGGGUGUUUGGUUUACCUGUUAGGUGCAGCUGAUAACUGAUGGACACCAAAACAGGUAAAUUAUAGUGUUUGACAAGCUUAAAAAAAUAGAGCUGAUAGCUGAUGGGCAACUGAUAUGAUACCCAUCAGCUGCAGUUUGUAUCAGCUCUAUUUUUAGAGCUGUUUCUCAUCAGCUGAUAGCUGAUUUGGUUUUAUUUUUUAUUUUGACCAUAU
rnacentral:misc_RNA from 1 species